ACUCCUACGGGAGGCAGCAGUGGGAAUAUUGCACAAUGGGCGCAAGCCUGAUGCAGCAACGCCGCGUGAGGGAUGAAGGCCUUCGGGUUGUAAAACCUCUUUUAGCAGGGAAGAAGCGAAAGUGACGGUACCUGCAGAAAAAGCACCGGGCAACUACGUGCCCAGCAGCCGCGGUAAUACGUAGGUGCAAGCGUUGUCCGGAAUUAUUGGGCGUAAAGAGCUCGUAGGCGGUUUGUCACGUCU
rnacentral:rRNA from 1 species